CGGGAUAUAUUCCCGUAGGGAUGUGAUUCGUUAAACCGAUGAAUUGAACCAUGAA
rfam:Methanosalsum zhilinae DSM 4017, complete genome.